AUUGAACGCUGGCGGCGGGCCUAACACAUGCAAGUCGAACGAGUGGCGGACGUGUGAGUAAUGUCUGGGACCCUGCCUGAUGGAGGGGGAUAACUACUGGAAACGUUAGCUAAUACCGCAUACCAUCAGAUGUGCCCAGAUGGGAUUAGCUUGUUGGUGGGGUAGCGGCUCACCAAGGCGACGAUACCUAGCUGGUCUGAGAGGAUGGCCAGCCACACGGGAAAUGAGAAACGGUCCAGAGUCCUACGGGAGGCAGCAGUGGGGAAUAUUGCACAAUGGGCGCAAGCCGGAUGCAGGCAGGACGCGUGUAUGAAGAAGGCCUUCGGGUUGUAAAGGACUUUCAGCGGGGAGGCGUUACCCGCAGAAGAAGCACCGGCUAACUCCGUGCCAGCAGCCGCGGUAAUUC
rnacentral:rRNA from 1 species